AAGCCUCUUCGACGAGUCGAGUUGUUUGGGAAUGCAGCUCAAAAUGGGUGGUAAAUUUCAUCUAAAGCUAAAUAUUGGCUGGAGACCGAUAGCGCACAAGUAGAGUGAUCGAAAGAUGAAAAGCACUUUGGAAAGAGAGUCAAACAGUACGUGAAAUUGUUGAAAGGGAAGCGCUUGCAACCAGACCUGCCCGUGGGCGAUCAGCCGCUGUUCUCAGCGGUGCACUCGCUCCGCGAUCAGGCCAGCAUCGGUUUCGGCGGUCGGAUAAAGGCCUUGGGAAUGUAGCUUCCUUUCGGGGGAGUCUUAUAGCCCUCGGUGCAAUGCGGCCAGCCGGGACCGAGGACCGCGCUUCGGCUAGGAUGCUGGCGUAAUGGUUGUCAGCGACCCGUCUUGAAACACGGACCAAGGAGUCUAACAUCUAUGCGAGUGUUUGGGUGUCAAACCCAUACGCGGAAUGAAAGUGAACGGAGGUGAGAACCCUUAAGGGCGCAUCAUCGACCGAUCCAGAUGUCUUCGGAUGGAUUUGAGUAUGAGCAUAGCUGUUGGGACCCGAAAGGUGAGCAACCUCUUUAUCCUUUUAACGUGUGGAAUCUAAGCUAAUUUAAUCGUAGAUGGUGAACUAUGCCUGAAUAGGGUGAAGCCAGAGGAAACUCUGGUGGAGGCUCGCAGCGGUUCUGACGUGCAAAUCNAUCGUCGAAUUUGGG
rnacentral:rRNA from 1 species